rnacentral:rRNA from 1 species
UUAAGUCAGGCAACGAGCGAGACCCACGCCACAGUUGCCAGCUCGUCCUCCCGGGGAGUGGUGGGGACGACUGUUGGGACCGCCUCUGCUAAAGAGGAGGAAGGAAUGGGCAACGGUAGGUCAGCAUGCCCCGAAUUAUCUGGGCUACACGCGGGCUACAAUGGGUGGGACAAUGGGUAUCGACACCGAAAGGUGAAGGCAAUCUCCUAAACCCAUCCGUAGUUCGGAUUGUGGGCUGCAACUCGCCCACAUGAAGCUGGAAUCUGUAGUAAUCGUGUCUCAAAAUGGCACGGUGAAUAUGUCCCUGCUCCUU